ACGGGAGGCAGCAGUGGGGAAUAUUGGGCAAUGGGGGAAACCCUGACCCAGCAACGCCGCGUGAAGGAAGAAGGCUUUCGGGUUGUAAACUUCUUUUACCAGGGACGAAGGACGUGACGGUACCUGGAGAAAAAGCCACGGCUAACUACGUGCCAGCAGCCGCGGUAAUACGUAGGUGGCAAGCGUUGUCCGGAAUUACUGGGUGUAAAGGGAGCGCAGGCGGGUCGACAAGUUGGAAGUGAAAAUUACGGGCUCAACCCGUAAACUGCUUUCAAAACUGCCGAUCUUGAGUGGUGUAGAGGUAGGCGGAAUUCCCGGUGUAGCGGUGGAAUGCGUAGAUAUCGGGAGGAACACCAGUGGCGAAGGCGGCCUACUGGGCACUAACUGACGCUGAGGCUCGAAAGCAUGGGUAGCAAACAGGAUUAGAUACCCUGGUA
rnacentral:rRNA from 1 species